rnacentral:tRNA from 1 species
AAUUAAUGAGCUUGUUAAUAAGCAUUUGUUUUGAAAACAUAAGAAAGAAUCUUUAUUCUAUUAAUUU